UGGGGAAUUUUGGACAAUGGGGGAACCCUGAUCCAGCCAUCCCGCGUGUGCGAUGAAGGCCUUCGGGUUGUAAAGCACUUUUGGCAGGAAAGAAACGUCAUGGGUUAAUACCCCGUGAAACUGACGGUACCUGCAGAAUAAGCACCGGCUAACUACGUGCCAGCAGCCGCGGUAAUACGUAGGGUGCAAGCGUUAAUCGGAAUUACUGGGCGUAAAGCGUGCGCAGGCGGUUCGGAAAGAAAGAUGUGAAAUCCCAGAGCUCAACUUUGGAACUGCAUUUUUAACUACCGGGCUAGAGUGUGUCAGAGGGAGGUGGAAUUCCGCGUGUAGCAGUGAAAUGCGUAGAUAUGCGGAGGAACACCGAUGGCGAAGGCAGCCUCCUGGGAUAACACUGACGCUCAUGCACGAAAGCGUGGGGAGCAAACAGG
rnacentral:rRNA from 1 species